GGGAGGCCCGGCGUCCUGGGGGGUGGGGGCUCAGCCUGCACCACUCUUCCCCCCCCCCCCGCGACCACCCUCAAGAUCCUCCUGGUUCUGGAAGCCAGUGGGCUAGACCCCCACUCCCGAGGCACCAUGGAAUCUCUGCUCUCCGCAUGUCUGUUCCCUCCCCUUCCGGCACCCUUCCUGCACCCUGCCCAGGCCAGUGGGCACCUCAGACCUGUCUGCCUACGGCCGGUGCCCUCACCCGAACCCCUAACCCCGUCCCUGGGGGUAGAGGGACGUCCCCUUUAGCACCUGUUAUUCUAAAAGGUCCGGUCAAUGCGUUCCCGGCUCGCAGCAUGGCCUGGGGCAGGGCAAGUCCCUCCGGGCCUGGGCCCUGUGCAUCUCACUGUGCCUCGGGGCGGACAGGGGAGCUCAGGUGCCCCGCUGGCCCCAGCAGGCCCAGGGUAGCUGGGGCUUCCUUGUGGAGAAGAGAAGCUGGCAGUGGGCCAGGCUGCCCAAGGCUCUGUGUUCGGCAGUGGCGAAGGAGUGGCAGCUCGUGUUGGCAGAGCCUCAGCAGGAACUUUGGCCAGCAGGCUCUGCCCUGCUCACACCUCUUUCUGCCGCCUGGAUCUGCCUGAGCCUGUGGCCAAGCUGAGCCCCUGUGGGCUGGCUCUCACUGCCCCUGCAGUAAAAGCCCCCGAUUCUCUGUUCGAAGGCUGGGGCCAUUUCCUGAUCUUUGAACAUGCCCAUCACUGCACCGCAGUCAAGAUACAAAAUUAUUCCAUCAUCGCAAAGAUCUCCCUCAUGCUACCUCUUUAAGAUCAAACUCACCACCUCUCCCCACUCCCCCGCCAUUGCUCCUAACCCCUGGAAACCACCAUUUUGUUUUUCUUCUAUGUAACUUUGUCAUUUCUAGAAUACUGCAUAAAAAGAAUAAUAAAGUAUGUGACCUUUGAA